AGAUUGAACGCUGGCGGCAGGCCUAACACAUGCAAGUCGAGCGGCAGCGGGAAGAUAGCUUGCUAUCUUUGCCGGCGAGCGGCGGACGGGUGAGUAAUGCCUAGGGAUCUGCCCAGUCGAGGGGGAUAACAGUUGGAAACGACUGCUAAUACCGCAUACGCCCUACGGGGGAAAGGAGGGGACCUUCGGGCCUUCCGCGAUUGGAUGAACCUAGGUGGGAUUAGCUAGUUGGUGAGGUAAUGGCUCACCAAGGCGACGAUCCCUAGCUGUUCUGAGAGGAUGAUCAGCCACACUGGGACUGAGACACGGCCCAGACUCCUACGGGAGGCAGCAGUGGGGAAUAUUGCACAAUGGGGGAAACCCUGAUGCAGCCAUGCCGCGUGUGUGAAGAAGGCCUUCGGGUUGUAAAGCACUUUCAGUAGGGAGGAAAGGUAGCARCUUAAUACGCUGUUGCUGUGACGUUACCUACAGAAGAAGGACCGG
rnacentral:rRNA from 1 species